CUCUAGCCCAUGUUAUAUUUUUUUUUCUAAUUCAUAGGUAUGAUCUUUCUCGUUUUCUCCACUCUGCCGUUGACUAUUUAUGACCGCUGAUCACACCCUUACUGGUAACUUGUGCUUGCAGGACUUCUUGCGAGUGGCUCCUUUCCUUUGGAACAACCUACCUACCCACAUCAUACUCUCCAUUAGUCUUCAAUCAUUUAAGAAGUCCAUCAAUACCAUCUCUUUAGCAAAGCCAUAUUUCUUGCUGCUGCUAGAAAGGAUGGAAGAUGGCUGUCUGACCCCCAGCAACAACCUCCAGUGACAGGUAGGCUUGGUGUGUGUGUGUGUGUCUCUCUCUGCUAGUGAGGAAGCUUGUGUGUGUGUGUGUGUGUAUGAACUCAGCAGUCUGUGUGUGUAUGGACUCAGCAGUCUGUGUGUGUGUGUGUGUGUGUGUGUGUGCAUGGACUCAGCAGUCUGUGUGUAUGGACUCAGCAGUCUUUGUGUGUGUAUGUGUGCAUGGACUCAGCAGUCUGUGUGUGUAUGUGUAUGGUGUAUGGACUCAGCGGUCUGUGUGUGUGUGUAUGGACUCAGCGGUGUGUGUGUGUGUGUGUGUGUGUGUGGACUCAGCAGUCUGUGUGUGUGUGGACUCAGCAGUCUGAGUGUGUUUGGACUCAGCAGUCUGUGUGUGUAUGGACUCAGCAGUCUGUGUGUGUGUGUGUAUGAACUCAGCAGUCUGUGUGUGUAUGGACUCAGCGGUCUGUGUGUGUGUUUGUGUGUAUGGACUCAGCAGUCUGUGUGUAUAUGGACUCAGCAGGCUGUGUGUAUGUGUAUGGACUCAGCAGUGUGCGUGUUUGUGUGUGUGUGUAUGGACUCAGCAGUCUGUGUGUGUGUAUGAACUCAGCAGUCUGUGUGUGUGUGUAUGGACUCAGCAGUAUGUGUGUGUGUGUGUGUGUGUAUGAACUCAGCAGUGUGUGUGUGUGUGUAUGGGACUCAGCAGUAUGUGUGUGUGUGUGUGUAUGGACUCAGCAGUCUGUGUCUGUGUAUGGACUCAGCUGUCUGUGUUUGUGUGUCUGUGUGUGUGUAUGGACUCAGCAGUCUGUGUGUGUGUGUGUGUGUGUGUGUGUGUGUGUAUGGACUCAGCAGUCUGUGUGUGUGUAUGGACUCGGCAGUCUGUGUGUGUGUGUGUGUGUCUGUGUGUGUAUCGGACCUGUGCAGGCUGUGUGUCUGUGUGUGUGUGUAUGGACUCAACCCGGUCUGUGUGUGUGUGUGUGUGUGUGUGUCUGUGUGUGUUUAUAUGGACACAGCAGUCUGUGUGUGUGUGUGUGUGUGUCUGUGUGUGUAUUUGGACUCAGCAGGCUGUGUGUGUGUGUGUGUGUAUGGACUCAGCAGUCUGUAUGUCUGUGUGUGUGUGUAUGGACUCAGCAGUGUGUGUGUGUGUGUGUAUGGACUCAGCAGUCUGUGUGUAAGUGUAUAAAUCAGCCUUUGUGCAUUCAGCGACACCUGUGUGCAUUCAGGAGUCUGUGUGCAUUCCGAAAUCUGUGUGUGUGUGUGUGUGUAUUCAGCAGUCUCUCUGUGUUAGUAUUCAGUGUACUGUGUGUAUGUACUCAGCAGUGUAUCAAUAAUUUAAAUUUUUAUUCCUGUGAGUUGUUGUGUAGGAAGGGCCCCAGUGCACUGCUUUGCCCGGGGCCCUUAACACUGUUAAGAUGGUACUGCUUGUGUGUGUCAGUGAGCUUCUAUUUAGUGAGCAUGUGUGUGUCAGUGAGCUUGUCUUUAGUGAGCUUGUGUGUGUCCCUGAACUUCUUUGUAGUGAGCCUUGUAUUUAUACAAGUGAGUUUGUUUGUAGUAAGCUUGUGUGUGAGUCAGAGUUUUUUGUCUGUCAGUGAGUCUAUUUGCGCAUGUCAGUGAGCUUGUGUGCUCACUGUACAAUAUAUAUAUAAAAAAAAAAUAUAUAUAUAUAUACAGUCAAUGAAGGCUUGCACUCAUGGUCCUUUCUUCAUAAAAAAUUUCCUUUAUUUCAUCCCAUUAAAAUAUGAUCGACAUUUCAGCCAUCGUCUGUGGCUUUCAUCAGGAUCAAUACAGCUCAAAGCUGAUCCUGAUGAAAGCCACAGACGAUGGCUGAAACGUCGAUCAUAUUUUAAUGGGAUGAAAUAAAGGAAAUUUUUUUGGAGAAAAGACCGUGAGUGCAAUCCUUCAUUGACUGUAUAAUAUUUUUUGGCAAUGGCUAGAAUGCACCCGGCGUUUUGAAUAAGUUAAAGGCUAACAAGUGUGAGCACAAGGAGCAAUAAGAAACUAUAUUUAUAUAGGAUUCAUGUGCCCCCCCCCUAAAAAUGAAUCCUAUAGACGCCACUGAUGCCAUAUCUCCAGCUAGAUUUGCUGGAUAUGCCCCCCAGCUCAAAGAGCUAAGCUCUAACUUUCCAAACCACUAUAAAACCUGUACAUGGGAGGUAUUGUUUUACUCGUGAGUAGUGAUGUCCCGAACGGUUCGCCGAACGGUUCGUGAACGGUUCGCCACGAACGGUUCGCCACAGACUCAUCAUUGAGUAAACUUUGACCCUGUACCUCACAGUCAGCAGACACAUUCCAGCCAAUCAGCAGCAGACUUUCCUCCCAGACCCUCCCACCUCCUGGACAGCAUCCAUUUGAAGCUGCAGUCUUAGUGAGCUGUCCAGGAGGUGGGAGGGUCUGGGAGGGAGGGUUUGCUGCUGAUUGGCUGGAAUGUGUCUGCUGACUGUGAGGUACUGGGUCAAAGGUUACUCAAUGAUGAGUCCGCGGUGAACCGUUCGGGACAUCACUACUUGUGAGACAUCACUGAAUGCAAAUAUGUUUACUUUAUUGCAGUAACAGCUAACAGUAUUAUGACAAUCUCAGUUAAAAUGCCAUGCAGAACUAAAAAAAUAACAAAAUGUCUUAAUUUCUCACAAUUUGUUUUACAUUUUAUUCACAUUAAAUUAUAUUUAAUAAAUAAAUAUUUGAAAUUAAAUUAAAGCCCAGUUUCUCAUGAAUAAAAUGAUAUAUAAUAAGUGUGGGUGCACUUAAUAUGAAAGAGAUGAAUUACGGUUGAACAGACAUAUAGCGCAAAUUCCAGUUUUUGUUUACAUUUUGUUUUGAUCAGAACGUGUCCAAUUGACUCGGUCCUGAAGGGGUUAAAACAAGUAUUGACAUACAGUGACAACAUGUUGACAGAGACAUCAUCUGAAGAUGGUAUAGAAUUUCUGAAUGCAGAAUGAGCUUGUGAGAAUGGAUCUCUGGAACACAGUGAACAAUUUCACACCAGCAUCUGCUCCUGAUGGGGACUCUUCCACUCUGGGAGAAAAAGGACAGAAAAACAAGGACUUAUGGGAAGGCUUAGAAGAUUAGUAUGGAAGUAACGGUCUAAAAAAAUUCAGUUUAAAAGUGUUUAGGGAGGAGACAUAGAGAAACAUCUGAAUCAAAUUUCAGAAAAUACUAUCAUUUAGAUUCUAUUGGCAAAAAAAACAAUGAAGAAGAUAAAGUGAUCCUGAUUUUAUCAAAUCUUCCAUAAAGCUAUAAUUCAUUAAUUCAUGCACUGGAAACUAGAGAGAAUCUCUCUGUAAAAUAUGCCUUAGAGAAGAGUCAUUCUGGCGAGCUGCAGAAAGUAGUGAAACACAAGCAUUUGCAAUAGAAAACACAGAGAAGCUGAUCACCGCAGCCAAGAGAUUAAAUUUGCACAAAAAGGGUAAAAACAAAAAAGUUUCAGUUCCUCUAAUAUGUGUGAAGCCUGUAAUACAGAAAAGAUUAUUACGGCCGAAGAAAUUUCAUAGUUCAAUCACAG
rnacentral:lncRNA from 1 species